rnacentral:rRNA from 1 species
GACAGAGGGUGCAAACGUUGCUCGGAAUCACUGGGCGUAAAGGGCGUGUAGGCGGGCAGGUAAGUCGGGCGUGAAAUCCCUGGGCUCAACCCAGGAACUGCACUCGAAACUACUUGUCUUGAGUGUCGGAGAGGAAAGCGGAAUUCCUGGUGUAGAGGUGAAAUUCGUAGAUAUCAGGAGGAACACCAGUGGCGAAGGCGGCUUUCUGGACGAUAACUGACGCUGAGA